GACGUAGGGCGCGAGCGUUGUCCGGAUUUAUUGGGCGUAAAGAGCUCGUAGGCGGCUUGUCGCGUCGACUGUGAAAACCCGCGGCUCAACUGUGGGCUUGCAGUCGAUACGGGCAGGCUGGAGUUCGGUAGGGGAGACUGGAAUUCCUGGUGUAGCAGUGAAAUGCGUAGAUAUCAGGAGGAAUACCGAUGGCGAAGGCAGGUCUCUGGGCUAUAACUGACGCUCAUGCACGAAAGCGUGGGGAGCAAACAGG
rnacentral:rRNA from 1 species